rnacentral:rRNA from 1 species
AUUGAACGCUGGCGGCAGGCCUAACACAUGCAAGUCGAGCGGAUGAAGGGAGCUUGCUCCUGGAUUCAGCGGCGGACGGGUGAGUAAUGCCUAGGAAUCUGCCUGGUAGUGGGGGAUAACGUCCGGAAACGGGCGCUAAUACCGCAUACGUCCUGAGGGAGAAAGUGGGGGAUCUUCGGACCUCACGCUAUCAGAUGAGCCUAGGUCGGAUUAGCUAGUUGGUGGGGUAAAGGCCUACCAAGGCGACGAUCCGUAACUGGUCUGAGAGGAUGAUCAGUCACACUGGAACUGAGACACGGUCCAGACUCCUACGGGAGGCAGCAGUGGGGAAUAUUGGACAAUGGGCCAAAUCCUGAUCCAGUCAUGCCGCGUGUGUGAAGAAGGUCUUCGGAUUGUAAAGCACUUUAAGUUGGGAGGAAGGGCAGUAAGUUAAUACCUUGCUGUUUUGACGUUACCAACAGAAUAAGCACCGGCUAACUUCGUG